UACGGAGGGUGCAAGCGUUAAUCGGAAUUACUGGGCGUAAAGGGUGCGUAGGUUGUCUGGUAAGUUAGCUGUGAAAUUCCUGGGCUCAACCUGGGACUGUCAGCUAAGACUGCGAGACUAGAGUAUAGGAGAGGGUAGUGGAAUUUCCGGUGUAGCGGUGAAAUGCGUAGAGAUCGGAAGGAACACCAGUGGCGAAGGCGGCUACCUGGCCUAAUACUGACACUGAGGCACGAAAGCGUGGGGAGCAAACAGG
rnacentral:rRNA from 1 species